GCGAUUAUUUGCAGUGGAUGGGUUGGAUAAAAGAACUCACUGGAGCAGGGAAGGAGAACAAAACAGAGCCGGGAGGUGACCGAACAGCUUUCCAGAAAGGGGAAAAUAAACAACACCAGGCGCUUUUCCAGCGAAUCCACGUGGAGGGCAGGGAGGAGGACGAGCACACCUGGGAUCCUCGUCCCCGGGCAGAACAAUCAGCCUUUGUCCCAGCGGGACAGCGCGAAGUUCGGCCGAGCGAUUCCGUGGAGCUGCUCCUUCCCGCUCCCGGGAAAUUCGGCGGGGUUUGAGGCCUCCAGAAAAAUAAAAUGACCAAAAACUGUGGAUGAA